UGAACAAGUUGAGUGCAUCAU
rnacentral:siRNA from 1 species